GCCAGGCACCGUGGCGCGUGCCUGUAGUCCCAGCUACUCGGGAGGCUGAGGUGGGAGGAUCACUGGAGCCCAGGAGUUCUGGGCUGUAGUGCGCUAUGCCGAUCGGGUGUCCGCACUAAAGUUCGGCAUCAAUAUGGUGACCUCCCGGGAGCGGGGGACCACCAGGUUGCCUAAGGAGGGGUGAACUGGCCCAGGUCGGAAACGGAGCAGGUAAAAACUCCCGUGCUGAGCAGUAGUGGGAUCAAGCCUGUGAAUAACCACUGCACUCCAGCCUGGGCAAUCGGCGGUUAUCAAA
rnacentral:SRP_RNA from 1 species